UUUCACUCAAGAUAGCUGGAGUUCAUACAUGCAGUUUUAUCAGGAAAGCGAAUGAUAAGAGAUCUUAUAGGGUCGAAACGACCUUAUUAAGCUAUUCUCAAACUUUAAAUUGGUAAGACAAGAAUAGUGGCGCAACUCGUCGUGCCUCCUGUGUCAUCUGCACCGUGCCCAUAGAGCAGACUAUGCAACUAAGCACUUCAACGACCAAAAUCCA